GUCUACGGCCAUGCCACCCUGAACAAGCCUGAUCCCGUCUGAUCUCAGAAGCUAAGCAGGGUCAGCCCUGGGUUAGUACUUGGAUGGGAGACCAUCUAGGAAGACCAGGUGCCGUAGGCA
rnacentral:rRNA from 1 species